CUCGUUUGUUUUGGGUUGGUUUGUUUGUUUGCUGUGUGGCCUCCCCUUUAUGUUGAUCAGGCCGGCUCUGGGUUUAAUUGAUCUGCGAGGCGGGCAGCCGAGACCAUCAAGGGAAACUUCAGCCCUUGCAGGCUGCGGAGAGAAUAAGGAUGGUAUCGGUGAAACCGGCGUGAAAGGCAGACACAGCCCCCCGCCUUCCCCCGCGCGUGUUCACACGCAGGUGGGGACGCGGCUUCCCCGGAGGAGCUGGGGAUGCCCGGCGGAAGCUGCAGGGCUGGACCCCGCCCGGGACACCCCUGGGGCCCGGGAGGAGGGUGUUUGGAGAAGCCCCGGGCCCUCUCCCGGUCACCAGGAGGAUACCUAGCUGGUACCAGCUCCGGGGUGACUCUGCAAUGGCUCAGCAGUGACUCCGCAGACGGGAUAUGCCUGCUCCAGAAGGGGCAGGGCGAACAUAUGGAGAAGAGUGGCUAAAUUCACCCCCAGAGGCUGAUUUCCUCUCUGUUCCCGAGGAUAGAAAGGGUGAAGACCUGAAUCACUGUCAGGGUGCUGACAGCCUGAGAAAGAAAAGGAGAAUCGAUGCAGUUUUCCGUGAAACAAGGCAGAAAAGGGGGUGUGAGAGAACCAGUAUUGCACAUGGAAAACAUUGCUGGAGAGCCUAUGACAAAAAAAGUGAUGACAGGUUCUUGCAAAAUAUGACAGUUCAAACUACAAAUGGUUCCUUAAACUGGAAAAGCACUCCCUCUGUACCCAUUCUGACCCAGACAUUUUCAGGCUACAAAUACUCUACUGGCACAAGAGGCUCCUACAACCUUACCAAUGUAUCUCUGGGCCAUCUUAGCCAAGAGCCAACAUACAUUGGGGAAAUGAAGAGCAGAACCAGCUACAGCCCCUGGCAAAGCAAGCAGUUUUCUAGAGCAGCAGGCAACCAGACAUGGCCAAAUGACCAUGAGCUCCAGUGCCUCUAUUCCCUUUGCCAAAGCUCUAGAAAACCAGGCCAGAAGCUAAGGAGCCUCCUGUGGAAAAAGGGAAGAUAUCUUUGGCCCUCAAACAGGCACAUUUCCACCAAAACUGUAGAGACACCAAAGCAGAAUCUCCUCCCCAGUAUUUCCUAUUGCAGAAGACACCUGGACAAUAUCCUUAUUUAUAGGGCAGUGUGUCAAGUUUUGGUUCUUUUUGCUGCAUAGCUGAGAAGCUUUCAGCCAGCUCUGCUAAACACAUCAAGACAAAACAGUCCAUCACAUAACAGAUGCAAAUUGAUCAUUCAAACAAAGGAAAAGUUUGUUUCCAGUGGGGAAGGACGGAAUUCAGACACAUCUCCAAAAGACUAAAACAAUAACUGGGAGAGGCAAUCUCCCUGGUUCACUGAUUCUGCUAACUAAACCAUAACUGGGUCUAACCUGGAAAAUCUAGCAAGAGAUUUGAGCAACAAAGGUUGCCUUCUCCUCUCGUGAUCCUUCUGGCAGGUGGGAAUGGAGGAAGAGAUUAGAGUGGAACAGGAUUUGGGGAAUGCAGUCACAGGAAGAAGAGGCAUGAAGAUGAAAGGAGACAAGAGGGAAAAGUGACAGAAACAGAAAGCAAGCAAAGAUGAAGGGCAAAAAGUUAGCAUUCUCACACAGAGGAAGAUGCCUCACAGCAGGAGAGAGAGAAACCUUUGUUGGGAAAGAUCCCAAAAUAAAUGAAUACCUAAGACAGACA
rnacentral:lncRNA from 1 species